GUUGAACGCUGGCGGCAGGCCUAACACAUGCAAGUCGAGCGGAUGAAGGGAGCUUGCUCCUGGAUUCAGCGGCGGACGGGUGAGUAAUGCCUAGGAAUCUGCCUGGUAGUGGGGGAUAACGUCCGGAAACGGGCGCUAAUACCGCAUACGUCCUGAGGGAGAAAGUGGGGGAUCUUCGGACCUCACGCUAUCAGAUGAGCCUAGGUCGGAUUAGCUAGUUGGUGGGGUAAAGGCCUACCAAGGCGACGAUCCGUAACUGGUCUGAGAGGAUGAUCAGUCACACUGGAACUGAGACACGGUCCAGACUCCUACGGGAAGCAGCAGUGGGGAAUAUUGGACAAUGGGCGAAAGCCUGAUCCAGCCAUGCCGCGUGUGUGAAGAAGGUCUUCGGAUUGUAAAGCACUUUAAGUUGGGAGGAAGGGCAGUAAGUUAAUACCUUGCUGUUUUGACGUUACCAACAGAAUAAGCACCGGCUAACUUCGUG
rnacentral:rRNA from 1 species